rnacentral:rRNA from 1 species
ACCUCCGCAAUACACGAAAGUGUGACGGGGUUACCCAAAGUGUUCAUUAGAACUGUGGUAGGUGAGUAAUGUUCCCUACUAGAAAGGAGAGGGCAAGGCUGGUGCCAGCCGCCGCGGUAAAACCAGCUCUUCAAGUGGUCGGGAUAAUUAUUGGGCUUAAAGUGUCCGUAGCCGGUUUAGUAGGUUCCUGGUGAAAUCGGGUAGCUUAACUAUCUAUAUGCUAGGAAUACUACUAUACUAGAGGGCGGGAGAGGUCUGAGGUACUACAGGGGUAGGGGUGAAAUCUUAUAAUCCUUGUUGGACCACCAGUGGCGAAGGCGUCAGACUGGAACGCGCCUGACGGUGAGGGACGAAAGCCAGGGGAGCGAACCGGAUUAGAUACCCGGGUAGUCCUGGCCGUAAACGAUGCAUACUAGGUGAUGGCACGGCCAUGAGCCGUGUCAGUGCCGUAGGGAAACCGUUAAGUGUGCCGCCUGGGAAGUACGGUCGCAAGGCUAAAACUUAAAGGAAUUGGCGGGGGAGCACCACAAGGGGUGAAGCCUGCGGUUC